rnacentral:lncRNA from 1 species
UAGGAGGGUCCUGGCAACCUGAGGCAGAGCUGGUGUUACAGAGUACCUGCCUACUGCUAUAAAGUUUUACUUUAUACGAAUUCUGGAGAAGCUGAGUGAGGCCAUGUCUGUUACCAGGAGACAUGAGACUCACAGCAGAUCUCUCUGGCUUAACAUGGGAGAUGGCGAGAUUAAAAUUUCAUCAAAUGUAUCCAGAUAUUUUUAAAGUUGCAUUUUCACAGCAAACAAAUUUCUAAGGACUGAUUGUCUUUUUGUGUGUGUAAUUUUGUUUGUUUUUUUGGCUUUUUUCUCCCUAUUUUUAAAUGUUCUGAGUAGGACUAGCAUUAAAGCUUGGAAGGGGUAAAACGAGUCAUGGCACUCCAUCCUUUUAUCAUGCAGACUUUAUAAAGUGCUCCAGUUCUUAUGGUGUUUUCUGACCAGGAUCUGUACCAAGCAGAUGAACGUGCCAAGAUGUCUUCGUUCUCCCUGGCUGCACAUCCUCCUGUAGUCUUCAUGCCGGCCUUCGUUUGACCUGUUUUUGGGAAGUUCUGCCUUUUCCUUCUAUUUUAAUCUACACUCUGUUGCCACCAUUACAUAUCCAUGCAUGUAGAGUUGAUGGUAGUAUACUAAAACUUUUUAGAAGAGAAGAUAUGAAAACCCAAAUGGAGUGAAUAGCUAACCAGAAGACAUAUAUUAAAUAAGCAAAAUUCCCAA